AUUUUGUAAUUUUAGAAAAAGUACAAGAACAUUCCACCAAAGAGAAGCCUAAGUUGCAUGGGAGUAAACAAAGGACAGAAAAAUGGAGAGGGGGAAGAGAAAGAUAGGCACCUGACGACCAGCUUUACCACCUAUGAAGCGACUCCCCUGCAGGUGGGGAGCCAGGGGCUCAACUGCUAUCCUUCAACCUGUCCUUACACUUCAUGCCAUGUGUGCUUAACCUGCUGUGCUACCUCCUGAUUCCCAAUCCCAGCCCCUUUUUACCACUUUUUUAACUUUACUUUUAAUUUGAGGUUUAAAGAAAUUUUUUAUUUGUUACUGGGUAGAGACAGAGAAAUUGAGAGAGACAGGGAGAUAGAGAGGAAGAUAAAUACCUUCAGACCUGCUUCACUGCCUGUGACGUGAUUCCCCUGCAGGUGGAGAAAGCCAGGGGCUUGAACUGAGAUCCUAACCGGUUCUUGCUCUUUGCGCUGUGCAUGCUUAACCUGUCGCACUACCGCCCGACUCCCUGGACAUCUUUCUAUAAUUUUGAAUAUUUGUGAUUUUUUUCAUUAUACAUUUUUAUUGAAAUCUAUUGUUAAUGUCUGAUUUUGUGGCUUAUUGAGUAAAAUAAUGUCCUG